UCUGUACCUCGCAGACACGAGUACGGACAAGUGGUUCUCAUCGUCGAGGCGAGAAAUCUAGUGAUCCUUUAGAACUUGAAGAACUCGAAUUUCAUCGGAGACUGUAUUCAUUUUUAAAGGGCGUUAAAAAGAGGGUCUCAGAUUCACAGGGUCGUCCAAAAAGGUUCUCCUAAAAAGGUCACGCGACUGCAACGAAGAAAAAGAAAGAAAAACGUGUCGAUUGCAUAAGCUUGGUCUGGCGAAGGAAGGAUGAUUCUUGUUGGCCGACUGUGGCGACACACGACGAGCAGGGUAAGCGUGGAGCCGCAUGGCAACAGCGGAACCGUGUUAAAAUAUCGCAAUAAGGUAUUAAACAAAGGAAUCCGGGAGGAGCUGAAGCAAGACCGCGGUUACUGAAGCGAAACUGAAGGCUGAAGCGUUUCUUCGUCUUGAAAGGACUCGUUCGAGCCUUCCUUCCAUUCACAACCACGAUUCUUCCCGGCUCCUUUUCAACGAUCGUUUCACCGUCUAUCCUCGACUAACUAACCGGGGUCUUUGCUCUACACCUCCUCACCUGGCUCUAAUCUUUCGAUCGGGACACGUUAGAUCCGUUUUACUGAUACAACUGUUAACGAUUAUUCCCACCUACCAAUGAACACCCGAUACUCUUUAUCUUUCUACCUUGUGAUUUUAAAAACAAUCGCAAUUACUACAUUUCUCAUAAUAAAAAUUGUAAAUCGAGGGGAAUAAUAUUUUCAAUACAAACAGUAAAGCUCAUAUUGAAGAGAUCAAAUUCGCUAAAGAAAAAUUAAAAAUCAAGCUAAACUAAAUAGAGUAGGAGGGUUAAUACUUUUUAUUUUUUUACUUAGUGAAUUUAAAAAUAAUCGCAAUUAUUAUAUUUCUCAUAAUAAAAAUUGUAAAUCGAAGGGAAUAAUAUUUUCAAUACAAACAAUAAAGCUCAUAUUGAAGAGAUGAAAUACGUUAAAGAAAAAUUGAAAAUCAAGCGAAACUAAAAAAAGGUAGGAGGGUUAAUAUCCGUGUAAAUAAAAGAAGGAAAACGGGGUCCAAGUGACAGCGCGACGUCUAAAGUGCAGCUGCAAGUGGACGAGCGUGCAGUGAAUUCCGAGUGCGUCUAAUUAAAAGUCAUCUGCAUAUUUAUGGACGAGGAAACGCGGAGAAAGGGGCGGCGCGGUGGAUUAACGCGGGGAAAAGCAGAGAAGAGCCGCAGCCUGUAUUAAAGAAUAAAGGGCGAAAACAAACAAGCGGAAGAAACGUACGUCUGGUUAAAGUGGCCGUGGCCACGCUUACUACUUUCAUACACGGCGGCGAGUAUAAAUAACCGGCCAUGUUCGCUUCAAACCGUAUAGUAAUUAAAUUUUACAGCAUCAAGUAUCCUAUAAAACAACAUGUAACCUCAUAAUCUUUUUAUGUUUUUAUUAUUACUGCCGUCAAAGGACGAUGAUUCCAUUUGAGAUAAUUAAAUUAUUUAUAAAAAUAUAAUUUAAUUGUUGCAUGCACUUUGAGAAAUCGCAGUUCACCGAUGGCUAAUGGUUUUCGUGUAGAACAACAGCGAUAAUUACACGGUUCGUGACCGAGAAGUAUAUUUUCACAGACUACUGUAACAGAGUUUCGCGGAGAAAGAGAUUUCCGGGCUCCUUUCAAUGAACGGCCAACAUUCUCAUGCUGAGAAAAUAUAUGUUUCACACGACGACGAUCAUCGUGCGUUUCUCUUCCUUUCUUGAACCUCUUCCAAAAAUCUAGCCACCACCAUUCAACACGUGGAACGUUAUGUCAGAAAUACGAUCAUGCAGCAGUAUAGUCAUAAUUUACUAAUAGAGGGGACAACAAUUAUUUUCUAACCCCCUUUAAUUGCGCUACUGCAAUCAUGAAUGGUUGAAAAAAUUUUUUAAUGAAUUUUGUUUCAUUUAUAAAAACAAAUAUUCGAAUAAAUGAUUUAUUGGAAUUUCAACCGAGUCACUCAAUAUCGUUAACGUUAUUUUCCAUUUUCGUAUCGUCACGAUUGGUAGAUUUACCGCAUUCCUCGAAAACUUUCUAACAGUAAAAAGAUGACAACUUUGUAACUGUUGUUACAAAUAUUUAUCGUUCCAACAGAAGACCGUAUCGGGGAGAAACUUUUUGCCAGAAUGUUGAAUUCCAAGAAAUAUUUGAAAAAGUGGAGAUUGCUCUCAUAGUUGGUAACUGUAGGACAUAUUUAGUCGGAAACGAGGGACGUUUAAGUAAUUAUGGUGAUUAAAUCGAAGAAGAGCUCGACAUCUCGGCCAAAACCGUAUGCGUUCAUUCACUGGAGGAAGUGACGUCAGAAGGGAAGUCUUUCGAUGCAACCUUCCUACCGGUUGCGCUUAACGAGUCCAACGACAAUGUUGCAAUCGGACGGAGGAACUAGAAUUUUUCAAUUAUUAUCUAGUUUUU